UACGGAGGGUGCAAGCGUUAUUCGGAUUCACUGGGUUUAAAGGGUGCGUAGGCGGAUUGGUAAGUCCGUGGUGAAAUCCCCGAGCUUAACUUGGGAACUGCCGUGGAUACUAUCAGUCUUGAAUAUCGUGGAGGUAAGCGGAAUAUGUCAUGUAGCGGUGAAAUGCUUAGAUAUGACAUAGAACACCAAUUGCGUAGGCAGCUUACUACUCGAUCAUUGACGCUGAGGCACGAAAGCGUGGGGAGCAAACAGG
rnacentral:rRNA from 1 species